rfam:Canis lupus familiaris chromosome 1, whole genome shotgun sequence.
GCUUUUAAAAAAUAAAAAUAAAAACCUAUACUAAAAUUAGAAUGACACAGAGAUUAGCAUGGCCCCUGCACAAGGAUGACAUGCAAAUUCAUGAAGAAUUCCACAUGAAA